rnacentral:rRNA from 1 species
UACGUAGGGUGCGAGCGUUAAUCGGAAUUACUGGGCGUAAAGCGUGCGCAGGCGGUUCACUAAGUCGGAUGUGAAAGCCCUGGGCUCAACCCAGGAAGUGCACUCGAAACUGGCGGGCUAGAGUAUCGGAGAGGUUGGUGGAAUUCUCGGUGUAGAGGUGAAAUUCGUAGAUAUCGAGAGGAGCACCGGUGGCGAAGGGCGGCCAACUGGACCCAGUACUGAGCUGAGGCGCGAAAGCCGUG